AUGAACGCUAGCUACAGGCUUAACACAUGCAAGUCGAGGGGCAGCAUGGUCUUAGCUUGCUAAGGCCGAUGGCGACCGGCGCACGGGUGAGUAACACGUAUCCAACCUGCCGUCUACUCUUGGACAGCCUUCUGAAAGGAAGAUUAAUACAAGAUGGCAUCAUGAGUCCGCAUGUUCACAUGAUUAAAGGUAUUCCGGUAGACGAUGGGGAUGCGUUCCAUUAGAUAGUAGGCGGGGUAACGGCCCACCUAGUCUUCGAUGGAUAGGGGUUCUGAGAGGAAGGUCCCCCACAUUGGAACUGAGACACGGUCCAAACUCCUACGGGAGGCAGCAGUGAGGAAUAUUGGUCAAUGGGCGAGAGCCUGAACCAGCCAAGUAGCGUGAAGGAUGACUGCCCUAUGGGUUGUAAACUUCUUUUAUAAAGGAAUAAAGUCGGGUAUGGAUACCCGUUUGCAUGUACUUUAUGAAUAAGGAUCGGCUAACUCCGUGCCAGCAGCCGCGGUAAUACGGAGGAUCCGAGCGUUAUCCGGAUUUAUUGGGUUUAAAGGGAGCGUAGAUGGAUGUUUAAGUCAGUUGUGAAAGUUUGCGGCUCAACCGUAAAAUUGCAGUUGAUACUGGAUAUCUUGAGUGCAGUUGAGGCAGGCGGAAUUCGUGGUGUAGCGGUGAAAUGCUUAGAUAUCACGAAGAACUCCGAUUGCGAAGGCAGCCUGCUAAGCUGCAACUGACAUUGAGGCUCGAAAGUGUGGGUAUCAAACAGGAUUAGAUACCCUGGUAGUCCACGCCGUAAACGAUGUCGACUUGGAGGUUGUGCCCUUGAGGCGUGGCUUCCGGAGCUAACGCGUUAAGUCGACCGCCUGGGGAGUACGGCCGCAAGGUUAAAACUCAAAUGAAUUGACGGGGGCCCGCACAAGCGGAGGAACAUGUGGUUUAAUUCGAUGAUACGCGAGGAACCUUACCCGGGCUUAAAUUGCAGAUGAAUUACGGUGAAAGCCGUAAGCCGCAAGGCAUCUGUGAAGGUGCUGCAUGGUUGUCGUCAGCUCGUGCCGUGAGGUGUUGGGUUAAGUCCCGCAACGAGCGCAACCCCUGUCCUUAGUUGCCAGCAUGUAGAGAUGGGAACUCUAAGGAGACUGCCGUAGAUAAUACGGAGGAAGGUGGGGAUGACGUCAAAUCAGCACGGCCCUUACGUCCGGGGCGACACACGUGUUACAAUGGCGUGGAACAGAGGGAAGCCACCUGGCGACAGGGAGCGGAACCCGAAAACACGUCUCAGUUCGGAUUGGAGUCUGCAACUCGACUCCAUGAAGUCGGAAUCGCUAGUAAUCGUGGAUCAGAAUGCCACGGUGAAUACGUUCCCGGGCCUUGUACACACCGCCCGUCACACCAUGAGAGCCGGGGGGACCCGAAGUCGGUAGUCUAACCGCAAGGAGGACGCCGCCGAAGGUAAAACUGGUGAUUGGGGUG
rnacentral:rRNA from 1 species